rfam:Ictidomys tridecemlineatus contig023473, whole genome shotgun sequence.
AGCUCAGUUGGUAGAGUGCUUGCCUUGCAUGCACAAGGCCCUGGGUUCAAUUCCCAG